CCUUACCGUUGGCUAUCUUAGCUCGAUGUGCUAAUCAAGUUCCCCCUAAUUUGACAUACUAGAAUCUAAUACUAGAGGCAGCAUGACAUUAUUAUGGGGGAGGAGGUUGAGAAGCACUAACCUCGAAGUUAGAAUUUCUGGUUUGUCAUCCCAGUCUGCUAAUUAGCUUUCUGAUUUAAGACAAAAUACUUUUUCUGUGCCUUCUGGGGGUCAAAUUCGAUUUUUAAGAUUCUCUCAGUUGGAAGAAAUCUAACUAAAAAUAUACUUAAAAUAAUUCUUUGGUAGUAUAUUAUUUUGAAAUUUGGUCCAGAAUCCUAUUUGUUUAUUCCUGUAGUAUACAUACGUCUGUAGUUACCCAGUAGUCUUUGUUGUCUUUGGGCCAUCUAAAGUAUAUUUGGGCUGGGCAUGGUGUCUCACACCUGUAAUUUCAACACUUUGGAAGGCCAAGAUAGGGUCUCGCUGUGUUGCCAAGGCUGAUCUCAAACUUCUGGCCUCAAACAAACCUCCUGCCUUAACCUUCCAAAGUGCUGGGGUUAUAG
ensembl:lncRNA SOS1-IT1 SOS1 intronic transcript 1